GUGCUUGUGGAAAUUGUUGGGCAAUGCCAACUGAGGCAGAGUAUAUGCUGCCAGGAGAUUACACAGAACGCACUGAACAUAUACAGAGCUGACCAUGGGGCCUUACGGCUACGGGGAAUAGAGCAUCGUUACAGAUAGCUUGCCUACAGGAGCUUUGUCAUUUGGUGUUGGGGAUUCCUUGGAUGCAGAAU